ACGCUGGCGGCGUGCCUAAACAUGCAAGUCGAGCGGUAACAGGUGUAGCAAUACAUGUUGACGAGCGGCGAACGGGUGAGUAAUGCUUCGGAAUCUGCCCAAUGGUGGGGAAUAACCAGCCGAAAGGUUGGCUAAUACCGCAUAAGUCCUACGGGGGAAAGCAGGGGAUCGCAAGACCUUGCGCCGAUGGAUGAGCCGAAGUCGGAUUAGCUAGUUGGUAGGGUAACGGCCUACCAAGGCGACGAUCCGUAGCUGGUCUGAGAGGACGACCAGCCACACUGGGACUGAGACACGGCCCAGACUCCUACGGGAGGCAGCAGUGGGGAAUAUUGGACAAUGGGGGAAACCCUGAUCCAGCGACGCCGCGUGUGUGAAGAAGGCCUGCGGGUUGUAAAGCACUUUUAGUGGGGAUGAAAAGCUCAGGGCUAAUACCUCUGGGUCUUGACCUAACCCAAAGAAAAAGCACCGGCUAACUCUGUGCCAGCAGCCGCGGUAAUACAGAGGGUGCGAGCGUUAAUCGGAAUUACUGGGCGUAAAGCGUGCGUAAACGGUUAUGUAAGUCGGGUGUGAAAACCCCGGGCUCAACCUGGGAAUUGCAU
rnacentral:rRNA from 1 species